rnacentral:rRNA from 1 species
AGCGAACGCUGGCGGCAGGCCUAACACAUGCAAGUCGAACGAAGCCUUCGGGCUUAGUGGCGGACGGGUGAGUAACACGUGGGAACGUACCUUUUGGUUCGGAACAACUCAGGGAAACUUGAGCUAAUACCGGAUGAGCCCUUAGGGGGAAAGAUUUAUCGCCGAAAGAGCGGCCCGCGUUAGAUUAGCUAGUUGGUGAGGUAAAGGCUCACCAAGGCUACGAUCUAUAGCUGGUCUGAGAGGAUGAUCAGCCACACUGGGACUGAGACACGGCCCAGACUCCUACGGGAGGCAGCAGUGGGGAAUCUUGCGCAAUGGGCGAAAGCCUGACGCAGCCAUGCCGCGUGAAUGAUGAAGGUCUUAGGAUUGUAAAAUUCUUUUACCAGGGACGAUAAUGACGGUACCUGGAGAAAAAGCCCCGGCUAACUUCGUGCCAGCCGCCGCAGUAAUAC